ensembl:lncRNA
ACAGGAUCAAGUGCCUCUUUUGCAUCUCAGCAGUAAGGAAAGUGUUCAGCAAAGCCUUGUGACAUAUGCAUGCCAUGCAGUACAAGCUCCAGAGAAUCCAAGGCCAAUCACUUAAUGAAUGCUGACUAUAGUGGCAAAUGAAAGGAGAACAACCACUUAAUGCUAUUGAUCAACCCAUGCCUUGUUAGAAGAUCACAAUGGGUUUAGGAAUGUUCUUCUAAAUUAUAAACAAUUGCAAUGAUACUCCAAGGGAAAAGAAGACAUUUGUUCAGUGAAACUGCAAGAAGAGGUACUUUCUGUUCUGGAGCAUAUCCCCAAUAUUGCCCCUGGGUCUGACCUUUGGAGCAAUCACAGUGAUGUUAAAUACCCUGUAGAUGUAAGGAAAGACUGGACUGCUUUCCAAAGAGUAUGCAAAUGAGAAGAUGAGAACAAGUGGAUACACAAACUGAAGAGACCACGUAUUUUGUAGGCAAACAAUUACAAGUCCAGCCUAUACAUCCUGUAAAUCUCAUUAAUUGUGAAGAUCUGUGGUAAAGUAAUGCUGUAUUUUUUCUAAAGUGCUUGUGAUAUGGGUGUAUGUAGAGAUGCAAAGGACAUCACUUUGAUCUUGCCUGAUGUACAUAGGCAGAAAGAACAUUUGCAGGGAGUUCAGAAAUUAUACUCUUGUGCUCUUAUUUUUGCUUAUUUGCAGUCAAGUUUCUUCUGGUUACAAAAUACUGUCAAGUACACUGAAAUGCUGAAGUGUUUUAAUAAUACUCAUCAUCACAUCCAUUCUUUAUAAGACUUUAG